UUGGAGGGCAAGUCUGGUGCCAGCAGCCGCGGUAAUUCCAGCUCCAAUAGCGUAUAUUAAAGUUGUUGCAGUUAAAAAGCUCGUAGUUGAAUUUCGGGGUUAGUAGGCUGGUCAUGCCACCGGUAUGUACUGGUCUUACUGAUUCCUCCUUCCUGAUGAACUGUAAUGCCAUUAAUUUGGUGUUGCAGGGAAUCUGGACUGUUACUUUGAAAAAAUUAGAGUGUUUAAAGCAGGCUAACGCUUGAAUACAUUAGCAUGGAAUAAUGAAAUAGGACGUUCGAUCCUAUUUUGUUGGUUUCUAGGAUUGACGUAAUGAUUAAUAGGGAUAGUUGGGGGCAUUAGUAUUCAAUUGUCAGAGGUGAAAUUCUUGGAUUUAUUGAAGACUAACUACUGUGAAAGCAUUUGCCAAGGAUGUUUUCAUUAAUCAAGAACGAAAGUUAGGGGAUCGAAGACGAUCAGAUACCGUCGUAGUCUUAACCAUAAACUAUGCCGACUAGGGAUCGGAUGAUGUUAAUUUUUUAAUGACUCAUUCGGCGCCUUACGGGAAAC
rnacentral:rRNA from 1 species